CAACUUGAGAGUUUGAUCCUGGCUCAGGACGAACGCUGGCGGCAGGCCUAACACAUGCAAGUCGAACGAGAAGCCAUCCUUCGGGAUGGUGGGCAGUGGCGAACGGGUGAGUAACGCGUGGGAACCUGCCCUUCGGUACGGGACAACCGCGGGAAACUGCGGCUAAUACCGUAUAUUCCCCAUGGGGGAAAGAUUUAUCGCCGAGGGAUGGGCCCGCGUCCGAUUAGCUAGUUGGUGAGGUAAAAGCUCACCAAGGCGACGAUCGGUAGCUGGUCUGAGAGGAUGAUCAGCCACACUGGGACUGAGAUACGGCCCAGACUCCUACGGGAGGCAGCAGUGGGGAAUAUUGGACAAUGGGGGCAACCCUGAUCCAGCCAUGCCGCGUGAGUGAAGAAGGCCCUAGGGUUGUAAAGCUCUUUCAGCGAGGAAGAUAAUGACGGUACUCGCAAAAGAAGCCCCGGCUAACUCCGUGCCAGCAGCCGCGGUAAUACGGAGGGGGCUAGCGUUGUUCGGAAUUACUGGGCGUAAAGCGCGCGUAGGCGGU
rnacentral:rRNA from 1 species